AGAGUUUGAUCCUGGCUCAGGAUGAACGCUGGCGGCGUGCUUAACACAUGCAAGUCGAACGAAGCAAUCUAACGGAAGUUUUCGGAUGGAAGCUAGAUUGACUGAGUGGCGGACGGGUGAGUAACGCGUGGGUAACCUGCCUCACACUGUGGGACAACAGUUAUAAAUGACUGCUAAUACCGCAUAAGCGCACAGGACCGCAUGGUCCGGUGUGAAAAACUCCGGUGGUGUGAGAUGGACCCGCGUUUGAUUAGCUAGUUGGUGGGGUAACGGCCUACCAAGGCGACGAUCAAUAGCCGACCUGAGAGGGUGACCGGCCACAUUGGGACUGAGACACGGCCCAAACUCCUACGGGAGGCAGCAGUGGGGAAUAUUGCACAAUGGGGGAAACCCUGAUGCAGCGACGCCGCGUGAGUGAAGAAGUAUUUCGGUAUGUAAAGCUCUAUCAGCAGGGAAGAAAAUGACGGUACCUGACUAAGAAGCCCCGGCUAACUACGUGCCAGCAGCCGCGGU
rnacentral:rRNA from 1 species